UACGUAGGGGGCAAGCGUUGUCCGGAUUUAUUGGGCGUAAAGAGCGUGUAGGCGGCCAUGCAGGUCUGCUGUGAAAACUCGAGGCUCAACCUCGAGACGUCGGUGGAAACCGCAUGGCUAGAGUCCGGAAGAGGAGAGUGGAAUUCCCGGUGUAGCGGUGAAAUGCGCAGAUAUCGGGAAGAACACCCGUGGCGAAGGCGGCUCUCUGGGACGGUACUGACGCUGAGACGCGAAAGCGUGGGGAGCGAACAGG
rnacentral:rRNA from 1 species